AAAGUUUCAUCAGGGAAAUGUACUUAAACUGCAUCUAAUUUCUCUGUCUUACCCCUUCCCCUUAGUUUUGCACGUUCACGUGAGAGUAAGGGCUAUCCCAAAUAUCAUUUUGAUCGA